rnacentral:misc_RNA from 1 species
AACUGAUACUACCUGCGGGAACCUGCGGAGGGAUCAUUACUGAAGUGAUUUGGGGAUGUUGCUGGCCCCCUCUCAAGGGGGGGCACUGUGCACUCCUCGAAACAAUUCACAAUUUCCAUCACACCCCUUGUGCACACCUUGUAGGCACCCAAACCCACCUCCGGGUGGUGGGGUCCUAUGUAUUCCUUCAUCUCACACUCUGUUGAAUGGUGCCAUGGGACGCAUCUAAAGGAUUAUUUG